CUCUUCAUUAUACUGGUAAAUAGUCUCACAUCCGUCCUCAUACGGCAGGUUGUAUGUUAAUUAGCAUAUCAGUGUAGAAACACGCUCACUAUACCAAACAAAAAUGGCUGAAUGGGAAAUAAAAUUCCAGCGACCGGUUGACUAGCAACAAAUAAAACGUCAAUAUCUAGCAGUGUGUACCGUGGGUCGGUACUGAUGACUGUGCAUGUCAACAAGCGUCUAUAAGACCAGCUUAUCACUAAUAUAUGCAGGACAUCGGAAUCCGAUUCAAAAGUCCUAACUGGUUGUAGAAAUUACAACAGUGUGGAGACCAGGUAGAUCCUGAACAAACAUCACACAGUAGAAAUUGCUGUUGAUCCUUGUACAACAAACACAUCAGGUAUCGGAGGUUCCUGUGUCGCCCUACAUCAGGCUUGAGUGCCCCAAACAGGAUAGUCUUCAGCAAUGGUACAACAUGUGGCAUGUUGUCCACGAUUGUGUGAUAAUGGGUCAGGGACUUUGGUCUUAAGCACUGAAAGACAUUUCCGGGAAUUAUUUCAACCACCAUGAAAAGUCUACCAGUGGAGAAGGAGGUGACCUCGAUCCAGGCACAAAUCCUUCGUUCUCAUCAGAAUCUGGCAUCUCAGCUGCUCCAAAGUCAUGCAUCAUCUCCAAACUCCGGGUCAUCUGAUU